GAUGAACGCUGGCGGCGUGCCUAAUACAUGCAAGUCGAGCGAACAGAUGAGGAGCUUGCUCCUCUGACGUUAGCGGCGGACGGGUGAGUAACACGUGGAUAACCUACCUAUAAGACUGGGAUAACUUCGGGAAACCGGAGCUAAUACCGGAUAAUAUAUUGAACCGCAUGGGUCAAUAGUGAAAGACGGUUUUGCUGUCACUUAUAGAUGGAUCCGCGCCGCAUGAGCUAGUUGGUAAGGUAAAGGCUUACCAAGGCAACGCUGCGUAGCCGACCUGAGAGGGUGAUCGGCCACACUGGAACUGAGACACGGUCCAGACUCCUACGGGAGGCAGCAGUAGGGAAUCUUCCGCAAUGGGCGAAAGCCUGACGGAGCAACGCCGCGUGAGUGAUGAAGGUCUUCGGAUCGUAAAACUCUGUUAUUAGGGAAGAACAAAUGUGUAAGUAACUAUGCACGUCUUGACGGUACCUAAUCAGAAAGCCACGGCUAACUACGUG
rnacentral:rRNA from 1 species